GAUGAACGCUGGCGGCGUGCCUAAUACAUGCCAGUCGAGCGAACAGACGAGGAGCUUGCUCCUCUGACGUUAGCGGCGGACGGGUGAGUAACACGUGGAUAACCUACCUAUAAGACUGGGAUAACUUCGGGAAACCGGAGCUAAUACCGGAUAAUAUAUUGAACCGCAUGGUUCAAUAGUGAAAGACGGUUUUGCUGUCACUUAUAGAUGGAUCCGCGCCGCAUUAGCUAGUUGGUAAGGUAACGGCUUACCAAGGCAACGAUGCAUAGCCGACCUGAGAGGGGGACGGCCCACCCGGGAAUUGGGAACGGGCCCAAACCCCAAGGGGGGGAGGAGGAGGGGAAUUUCCCGAAAGGGGGGAAACCCGAAGGAGGAAACCCGCGGGAGGGAAGAAGGGCUUUGGAUCGUAAAAACUUUUUUUUUGGGAAAAAAAAAAGUGGAAGGAAACGUGGCCAGCUUUACGGGACCUAAACAGAAAGCCACGGCUAAAUAAGGG
rnacentral:rRNA from 1 species